CCGGUGCCGGAAGGUUAAUUGAUGGGGUUAGCUAACGCGAAGCUCUUGAUCGAAGCCCCGGUAAACGGCGGCCGUAACUAUAACGGUCCUAAGGUAGCGAAAUUCCUUGUCGGGUAAGUUCCGACCUGCACGAAUGGCGUAACGAUGGCGGCGCUGUCUCCACCCGAGACUCAGUGAAAUUGAAAUCGCUGUGAAGAUGCAGUGUAUCCGCGGCUAGACGGAAAGACCCCGUGAACCUUUACUAUAGCUUUGCACUGGACUUUGAAUUUGCUUGUGUAGGAUAGGUGGGAGGCUUUGAAGCGUGGACGCCAGUUCGCGUGGAGCCAUCCUUGAAAUACCACCCUGGCAACUUUGAGGUUCUAACUCAGGUCCGUUAUCCGGAUCGAGGACAGUGUAUGGUGGGUAGUUUGACUGGGGCGGUCUCCUCCUAAAGAGUAACGGAGGAGUACGAAGGUGCGCUCAGACCGGUCGGAAAUCGGUCGUAGAGUAUAAAGGCAAAAGCGCGCUUGACUGCGAGACAGACACGUCGAGCAGGUACGAAAGUAGGUCUUAGUGAUCCGGUGGUUCUGUAUGGAAGGGCCAUCGCUCAACGGAUAAAAGGUACUCCGGGGAUAACAGGCUGAUACCGCCCAAGAGUUCAUAUCGACGGCGGUGUUUGGCACCUCGAUGUCGGCUCAUCACAUCCUGGGGCUGAAGCCGGUCCCAAGGGUAUGGCUGUUCGCCAUUUAAAGUGGUACGCGAGCUGGGUUUAGAACGUCGUGAGACAGUUCGGUCCCUAUCUGCCGUGGACGUUUGAGAUUUGAGAGGGGCUGCUCCUAGUACGAGAGGACCGGAGUGGACGAACCUCUGGUGUUCCGGUUGUCACGCCAGUGGCAUUGCCGGGUAGCUAUGUUCGGGAAAGAUAACCGCUGAAAGCAUCUAAGCGGGAAACUUGCCUCAAGAUGAGAUCUCACUGGAACCUUGAGUUCCCUGAAGGGCCGUCGAAGACUACGACGUUGAUAGGUUGGGUGUGUAAGCGCUGUGAGGCGUUGAGCUAACCAAUACUAAUUGCCCGUGAGGCUUGACCAU
rnacentral:rRNA from 1 species